rnacentral:lncRNA from 11 species
GUGACGUGGAGUAAGGGUGGUUUCCUGUGGGCAGUCCCUUCUCAAACAUUGAUGUUUCUCUCUCAAAAUCCUGCUUCAUGAGACUGGCAAGGGUACACAGAACUGGAAUAAACACCACCCAAGAGGCUUCUGCAAAUUCCUUCUAUGUGAUGAUAUUGUUAGGAGCCAUGAGAAAUCUUUGGUUUCUGUACUCUGCUAUCCUUAGUGGCAUUGGUGCGGCAUUUGUGCCACUGGAAAAAUUGCUUCCCAAUACUACCCUGCCUGGCACUUCCUUAUGAGAGGAAAUUCUCAUCAUCUUCUAAGACUGGGAAUUAUGAAGCCUGUAAGCCACAAAGUCCAUUUUUGUGGCUCUUAAAAUUCUCCUGAAAAAAAUAAAAGCUGUCAAAAACCAAGAUUCAUAUCUUUGGAAUUUUUCAAGGAAUGCAAGUUUCUACUAAAAAUUGCGGUCAUUUUUUGCUUUCACUGGAUGUGCCCAGUUUGGGUCUAGACCAGGCAUGGACAAACUUCAGCCCUCCAGGUGUUUUGGAUUUCAACUCCCACAAUUCUUAAGUUUGCUGGGAGAUGGAAGUCCAAAACACCCGGAGGUGUUUGUCCAUGCCUGCACUAUAUUCCAUAUUUGUAUAGAAUCAAUUUAGACUGCUUGGGGAAGACUCCAUGAUCAUAGCUCUAAAAUGUGCUUCCAGAUUUCAAAGAAUGCUAAUGAUUUUGGUAUUUGUAAUAUUAUAGCAGAAAUAAUUGGAUUUUAU